AGGGUUCGAUUCUGGCUCAGGAUGAACGCUGGCGGCGUGCUUAACACAUGCAAGUCGAACGGGAUCCCAGGAGCUUGCUCCUGGGUGAGAGUGGCGAACGGGUGAGUAAUGCGUGACCGACCUGCCCCAUACACCGGAAUAGCUCCUGGAAACGGGUGGUAAUGCCGGAUGCUCCAGUUGACCGCAUGGUCCUCUGGGAAAGCUUUUGCGGUAUGGGAUGGGGUCGCGUCCUAUCAGCUUGAUGGCGGGGUAACGGCCCACCAUGGCUUCGACGGGUAGCCGGCCUGAGAGGGCGACCGGCCACAUUGGGACUGAGAUACGGCCCAGACUCCUACGGGAGGCAGCAGUGGGGAAUAUUGGGCAAUGGGCGCAAGCCUGACCCAGCAACGCCGCGUGAAGGAAGAAGGCUUUCGGGUUGUAAACUUCUUUUGUCAGGGACGAGUAGAAGACGGUACCUGACGAAUAAGCCACGGCUAACUACGUGCCAGCAGCCGCGGUAAUACGUAGGUGGCAAGCGUUGUCCGGAUUUACUGGGUGUAAAGGGCGUGCAGCCGGGCAUGCAAGUCAGAUGUGAAAUCUCAGGGCUUAACCCUGAAACUGCAUUUGAAACUGUAUGUCUUGAGUGCCGGAGAGGUAAUCGGAAUUCCUUGUGUAGCGGUGAAAUGCGUAGAUAUAAGGAAGAACACCAGUGGCGAAGGCGGAUUACUGGACGGUAACUGACGGUGAGGCGCGAAAGCGUGGGGAGCGAACAGGAUUAGAUACCCUGGUAGUCCACGCUGUAAACGAUGGAUACUAGGUGUGCGGGGACUGACCCCCUGCGUGCCGCAGUUAACACAAUAAGUAUUCCACCUGGGGAGUACGAUCGCAAGGUUGAAACUCAAAGGAAUUGACGGGGGCCCGCACAAGCGGUGGAUUAUGUGGUUUAAUUCGAAGCAACGCGAAGAACCUUACCAGGGUUUGACAUCCUGCUAACGAAGUAGAGAUACAUUAGGUGCCCUUCGGGGAAAGCAGAGACAGGUGGUGCAUGGUUGUCGUCAGCUCGUGUCGUGAGAUGUUGGGUUAAGU
rnacentral:rRNA from 1 species